rnacentral:rRNA from 1 species
GACGAACGCUGGCGGCGUGCUUAACACAUGCAAGUCGAGCUAUGAAGUUCCUUCGGGAAUGGAUUAGCGGCGGACGGGUGAGUAACACGUGGGUAACCUGCCUCAUAGAGGGGAAUAGCCUUCCGAAAGGAAGAUUAAUACCGCAUAAGAUUGUAGUGCCGCAUGGUACAGCAAUUAAAGGAGUAAUCCGCUAUGAGAUGGACCCGAGUCGCAUUAGCUAGUUGGUGAGGUAACGGCUCACCUAGGCGACGAUGCGUAGCCGACCUGAGAGGGUGAUCGGCCACGUUGGGACUGAGACACGGCCCAGACUCCUACGGGAGGCAGCAGUGGGGAAUAUUGCACAAUGGGGGAAACCCUGAUGCAGCAACGCCGCGUGAGUGAUGACGGUCUUCGGAUUGUAAAGCUCUGUCUUCAGGGACGAUAAUGACGGUACCUGAGGAGGAAGCCACGGCUAACUACGUGCCAGCCGCCGCGGUAAGAC